rnacentral:rRNA from 1 species
UACGUAGGGUGCAAGCGUUAAUCGGAAUUACUGGGCGUAAAGCGUGCGCAGGCGGUUAUGUAAGACCGGUUUGAAAUCCCCGGGCUUAACCUGGGAACUGCAUUUGUGACUGCAUAGCUAGAGUACGGUAGAGGGGGAUGGAAUUCCGCGUGUAGCAGUGAAAUGCGUAGAUAUGCGGAGGAACACCGAUGGCGAAGGCAAUCCCCUGGACCUGUACUGACGCUCAUGCACGAAAGCGUGGGGAGCAAACAGG